CGCCGUCCCCUGCUCCGCCGGCGCGGUGGUACCUCCCUUAAAGAAGCCGGCGCCUCAUUGUUCCCAGGCCGCGGCCGCCCAGGGUCGGGGGCGCCCUUCCCCGCGCGGAGAGGAAGAGGUGGCGGCGCCGGCACCUGACUGCUGCCCGCCGUGCACGUCCUGCCCGACGGCUCGUGUAGAGUCGGGAUCUAACCGGCGCGCGGCGAGAGGCGCCGGUCCUAGCCGAUCGGUCCCGGAUUGACAGCGAACACAGUCGUUCUUCCGGGGCCAGACCGUCAGCCCGAGUCAUUAGGCAACCCGACUGGCCUUAGAUCCCAGCACUCAUUCCCCUGACAGCUAGCCUGGAACUGUCAGUUACUUAGAGACCAAGACCAGUUGGUCAUUCAGUUAGUUAACCCAGAUCCGUGAGCACCCGCCAGAAACGUCCAUUCCUUGUUCACCGAUUUUUCUGCGACUACUAUGUACUUGUCAAUAAGGUGGUGGUUCCCCCUCCCAGUGCUGUAUAAGGCACGAUGUGCAAAGAAUCGUUGUCACUGUUUUCAAGGAUCAACCAAUUAUCCGUUUUAUUUUCUGUCCUCCAUUUACUGACCUUUUCUUUAGAGUCUGGAACUGGGUUAGAUCUUUAUAUAAACUAUCUCGCCUAAUCCUAAUCAGACCCUACAAGGGCAGGCUUUAGUUUUAAUCCUAUUUUUGAGAAAACAGGCCUCUGACUUAUUUGACCGAAAGGUAUCUGUUUUGGAUGGGGUACCUGCCUUGAAAACUUAUUCCCUGAUGUAACACCACUGCCACUGCCCCCCAAAACAGCAACAAAACUGCUCUGUAAUCUGUUCAGACUUUUGUCCUGAGUGCCAAUCUUCACCUUUCUACUAGGAAUACUAGGUAACCCAGGGCUUGAUUUCUCUUCUUGAAAGCAGAGGGGAAAUACGGAAGUCUCUGUAGACACCUGUAGCUGCAUGUAUGGAUAAUUGAUCAAAAUCAGGAGAUGGGUAUCUCUUUGGAUCGGAGGAGGCUUUUCCUUUUGUUUGUCUCAGUCAUUAAAUAUAGGAGUCCCUCCUUUCAAUAUGGUUGCAGAACUGAGACUUGAAGUCCACCCCACAACCCUCAAAGACAGGCUGACUCUAAAGUCUGUGAGGUGGAUUCAGGUCUUGUAGAGCUUGAAGCUUAAACAGUUUGGGGUGUCCUCUUUGAUAAAGAGAUUACAAAAUGGCUUUGUGAACACAUUGCUGGGGCCUUGGAAAUGGUCUCUGUAAGUGAGGCACUGAAUCUUAAGCUUCAUUUGCUUCAGGGUGAAUCUGCCUCUACUUAUUACGUUAUGUCAUUAUUUGUUUGCCAGCAGGCCUUCUCCUACUAGAUGGAGAGUUCCUGGGACUCUUGAGACAGGAACCUUGUCUGUGAUUCAUCUCUGCAGCCUCCUCUAUUUGAUACGGAGUGGGAGCCGUGAAAGAGAAGAAACUGAUCAAGAAAGGAAAGGUGGGCAGCCACCGUGCUGUGACGAUGCUUACGCAACCCUGUGGAGAGGUAUGUUGCUGAGGAACUGACGCUUCUCACCAAAUUGCCAACCGUAUGAGUGGAGGUGGCUCCUCCAGCUCUAGUGAACCUUACGAUGAACUGACUGCAGCUCCAGGCGACACCUUCACUGCACUCUCCUUAGAGACACUGAGCCGAACCACCCAGCUAAGCUGCUCUUGAAUUCCUGACCCACAGAAA